AAUUCUAUUUAUGAAGUCUACUGGGGCAUAGUAGGAAUGAAGCCAAUCCAUGCGAAGAAUGACAUCAAAAUCAGUCAUCUCUAAUUCAACUAAGUCUGCUAAAGUAACUUUUUGAGAUACCAUAACUAAACAGUUCCUGUAUACCCACCGAGCUAUGGUAGAUUUAUCCACUGAGGUAGAGACUGAGAAAGAAUCAACAAGAAUUUUGGGACUAACUCCAAAAUUAAUAGCUAUAUAUGGAGUAACAAAGGAUAACAAAGCUCCUGGAUUUAGCAAAGAAUAAACAUAUAAAUGAAAAAAUUAUAACAUACCAGUGACCAUAUUAGGAGAACUUUCCUGAUCCCGUCGGGACUAAAGAGCAUAGAGUUUAUUUGGGCGCUGCCCACUGGUAGCACUGG
rnacentral:lncRNA from 1 species